rnacentral:rRNA from 1 species
UACGGAGGGUGCGAGCGUUAAUCGGAAUUACUGGGCGUAAAGCGUGCGUAGGCGGUUUGAUAAGUCGGGUGUGAAAGCCCCGGGCUUAACCUGGGAAUUGCAUUCGAUACUGUCUGACUCGAGUCUGGGAGAGGGAAGCGGAAUUCCGGGUGUAGCGGUGAAAUGCGUAGAUAUCCGGAGGAACAUCAGUGGCGAAGGCGGCAUCCUGGACCGGCAUUGACGCUGAGGCGCGAAAUCCAGGGGAGCAAACGGG